CAAACUCAAAACCAGAUUGAUUCCAGAUCAGGUUGGUAUACAAAGAUCAAAGAUAGAUGAAAGCUAUAGCUCCGUCUUCAAAGUGAGCAUCUUCUAAUCCAAUCCCGUCAAUAAUGAAAUCGGAGGAGAUAUAUGUAGCUUGGUGUUGCGACAAGAAGGUCCUUCGCUGCCGCGUAGAUUUAACUAGAAGAAACUUCAAAAUCAGGAUGCCGCCGUCGGAUAGGGUUUUCUCUACUAAGAGAGAAAUUUAUUUUGACUCUUCUCAAAGGAUGUCAAGCCUUUCAUAUAUUCAAAUAUAAGUGAUACACAACAUGACCUACCUCCGAAAGCCAUACAGGCUACCCUAAAGCAACCAAAUGAAAUCACUAUGUUAAUA